CCUACGGGCGGCAGCAGUGAGGAAUAUUGGUCAAUGGACGCAAGUCUGAACCAGCCAUGCCGCGUGCAGGAAGACGGCUCUAUGAGUUGUAAACUGCUUUUGUACGAGGGUAAACGCAGAUACGCGGAUCUGUCUGAAAGUAUCGUACGAAUAAGGAUCGGCUAACUCCGUGCCAGCAGCCGCGGGAAUACGGAGGAUUCAAGCGUUAUCCGGAUUUAUUGGGUUUAAAGGGUGCGUAGGCGGUCGGAUAAGUUAGAGGUGAAAUCCCGAGGCUCAACUUCGGAAUUGCCUCUGAUACUGUUCGGCGAGAGAGUAGUUGCGGUAGGCGGAAUGUAUGGUGUAGCGGUGAAAUGCUUAGAGAUCAUACAGAACACCGAUUGCGAAGGCAGCUUACCAAGCUACUUCUGACGUUGAGGCACGAAAGCGUGGGGAGCAAACAGGAUUAGAUACCCGGGUAGUC
rnacentral:rRNA from 1 species